CCGGCGGCGGCGCGUUGACGCUGCCGGCGCUGAUGGCGCCGGUGCCGGAGUUGCCGUUGCUGGCCGCCGUGCGGAUCGGCGCCGCGGCG
rnacentral:tRNA from 3 species